ACCUCUCAGCCUGUGAGAAAGCCAUGUUUGGUCUGGAUGAAGGCAGAAGUCAUUGCUCCUUGAAGAAGAGACAGAGCUGAAGCCAAGCUGGACUGACUGAGCAUGGAGAUGAGGGAGCCUGGGAGGUGCAAUGAGAAAAACUGCAGCAGUAGAAGGGCAGACAUACGGGCUUUCUGACAGGCAGAGACCACCACUGGACAUACCCUAGGACAGAGGAUGGGCUCCACUCAUGAGCAGCUCCCCUCAGAGUAUCAGGGAGACCUGAACCUAUAACACUGAUCCAGUUUAGGACAGGAUCGGAUUCUGAUGCUGAAGACUUGUGUGAUCUCUACAGAAAGAAAACUUGCCUCAAGCCCUACUUGAUAUUAAUAUUUACCGGUCCAGCAACAGACGGAGAAAGAGCUCUUUCGUGGCAUGGGAAAUAAAGACAACCUCGGUGGA